rnacentral:rRNA from 1 species
CCUACGGGGGGCAGCAGUGGGGAAUAUUGCACAAUGGGGGAAACCCUGAUGCAGCAACGCCGCGUGAAGGAAGACGGUUUUCGGAUUGUAAACUUCUGUUCUUAGUGAAGAAUAAUGACGGUAGCUAAGGAGCAAGCCACGGCUAACUACGUGCCAGCAGCCGCGGUAAUACGUAGGUGGCAAGCGUUGUCCGGAAUUACUGGGUGUAAAGGGAGCGCAGGCGGGAAGCCAAGUCAGCUGUGAAAACUACGGGCUUAACUUGUAGACUGCAGUUGAAACUGGUUUUCUUGAGUGAAGUAGAGGUUGGCGGAAUUCCUGGUGUAGCGGUGAAAUGCGUAGAUAUCAGGAGGAACACCGGUGGCGAAGGCGGCCUGCUGGACUGCAACUGACGUUGAGGCCCGAAAGCGUGGGGAGCAAACAGGAUUAGAUACCCGUGUAGUC